rnacentral:rRNA from 1 species
UACGGAGGGUGCAAGCGUUAUCCGGAUUCACUGGGUUUAAAGGGUGCGUAGGUGGGCAAGUAAGUCAGUGGUGAAAUCUCCGGGCUUAACCCGGAAACUGCCAUUGAUACUAUUUGUCUUGAAUACUGUGGAGGUCAGCGGAAUAUGUCAUGUAGCGGUGAAAUGCUUAGAUAUGACAUAGAACACCAAUUGCGAAGGCAGCUGGCUACACAAAUAUUGACACUGAGGCAACGAAAAGCGUGGGGGAUCAAACAGG